rnacentral:rRNA from 1 species
AACUGGGUAACCUGCCCAAGAGACUGGGAUAACACCUGGAAACAGAUGCUAAUACCGGAUAACAACACUAGACGCAUGUCUAGAGUUUAAAAGAUGGUUCUGCUAUCACUCUUGAAUGGACCUGCGGUGCAUUAGCUAGUUGGUAAGGUAACGGCUUACCAAGGCAAUGAUGCAUAGCCGAGUUGAGAGACUGAUCGGCCACAUUGGGACUGAGACACGGCCCAAACUCCUACGGGAGGCAGCAG